GACGAACGCUGGCGGCGUGCUUAACACAUGCAAGUCGAACGGAAAGGCCCUGCUUUUGUGGGGUGCUCGAGUGGCGAACGGGUGAGUAACACGUGAGUAACCUGCCCUUGACUUUGGGAUAACUUCAGGAAACUGGGGCUAAUACCGGAUAGGAGCUCCUGCUGCAUGGUGGGGGUUGGAAAGUUUCGGCGGUUGGGGAUGGACUCGCGGCUUAUCAGCUUGUUGGUGGGGUAGUGGCUUACCAAGGCUUUGACGGGUAGCCGGCCUGAGAGGGUGACCGGCCAAAUGGGGAGGGGAGUACGGCCCAGACUCCUACGGGAGGGAGGAGGGGGGAAUAUUGACAAAGGGGGGGAAGCCUGAUGGAGCAACCCCGGGGGGGGGAUGGCGGCUUUCGGGUGGUAAACCGUUUUCGCCUGUGACGAAGGGUGAGUGACGGUAAGGGGGAAAGAAGCCCCGGCAAACUACGU
rnacentral:rRNA from 1 species